rnacentral:rRNA from 1 species
CAGCCGCCGCGGUAAUACGGAGGGUGCAAGCGUUAAUCGGAAUUACUGGGCGUAAAGCGCACGCAGGCGGUCUGACAAGUCAGAUGUGAAAUCCCCGGGCUUAACCUGGGAACUGCAUUUGAAACUGUCAGGCUGGAGUCUUGUAGAGGGGGGUGGAAUUCCAGGUGUAGCGGUGAAAUGCGUAGAGAUCUGGAGGAAUACCGGUGGCGAAGGCGGCCCCCUGGACAAAGACUGACGCUCAGGUGCGAAAGCGUGGGGAGCAAACAGGAUUAGAUACCCGUGUAGUCCCUGUCUCUUAUAU